rnacentral:rRNA from 1 species
GACGAACGCUGGCGGCGUGCUUAACACAUGCAAGUCGAACGGAAAGGCCCUGCUUUUGUGGGGUGCUCGAGUGGCGAACGGGUGAGUAACACGUGAGUAACCUGCCCUUGACUUUGGGAUAACUUUAGGAAACUGGAGCUAAUACCGCAUAGGAGCUCCUGCUGCAUGGUGGGGGUUGGAAAGUUUCGGCGGUUGGGGAGGGACUCGCGGCUUAUCAGCUUGUUGGUGGGGUAGUGGCGUACCAAGGCUUUGGCGGGUAGCCGGCCUGGGAGGGGGACCGGGCCCAAUGGGACUGAGGAAGGGGCCAGAAGGCAACGGGAGGCAGGGGUGGGAAAUAUUGCGGAACAGGCCGGAGCCUGGAACAACGACGUCGGGUGCGGGAAGACGGGCUUCGGGGUAGAAACCGCGUUCGGCUGGGAAGAAGCGUGAGUGACGGUAACUGAUCAAAAAGCAACGGCUAACUACGUG